UACAGAGGUCUCAAGCGUUGUUCGGAUUUACUGGGCGUAAAGGGUGCGUAGGCGGUGAUGUAAGUCGAGUGUGAAAUUUCGGAGCUUAACUCCGAAACUGCACUCGAUACUGCGUUGCUAGAGGAUUGUAGAGGAGUGUGGAAUUCACGGUGUAGCAGUGAAAUGCGUAGAUAUCGUGAGGAAGACCAGUGGCGAAGGCGACACUCUGGGCAAUUCCUGACGCUGAGGCACGAAGGCCAGGGGAGCAAACGGG
rnacentral:rRNA from 1 species